ensembl:miRNA bta-mir-1247 bta-mir-1247
CGCCGGGCGCACCCGUCCCGUGCGUCCCCGGACGUCGCUGUCUGCCCCGGGAACGUCGGGACUGGAGCGCCCGCGCUG